UAAGUGGGAAACGAUGUGGGAAGGCCCAGACAGCCAGGAUGUUGGCUUAGAAGCAGCCAUCAUUUAAAGAAAGCGUAAUAGCUCACUGGUCGAGUCGGCCUGCGCGGAAGAUGUAACGGGGCUAAACUAUGCACCGAAGCUGCGGCAGCGACACUAUGUGUUGUUGGGUAGGGGAGCGUUCUGUAAGCCUGUGAAGGUGUACUGUGAGGUAUGCUGGAGGUAUCAGAAGUGCGAAUGCUGACAUAAGUAACGAUAAAGCGGGUGAAAAGCCCGCUCGCCGGAAGACCAAGGGUUCCUGUCCAACGUUAAUCGGGGCAGGGUGAGUCGACCCCUAAGG
rnacentral:rRNA from 1 species